AGAUUGAACGCUGGCGGCAUGCCUUACACAUGCAAGUCGAACGGCAGCGGACCUUCGGGUGCCGGCGAGUGGCGAACGGGUGAGUAAUAUAUCGGAACGUACCUUUCAGUGGGGGAUAACGUAGCGAAAGUUACGCUAAUACCGCAUAUUCUGUGAGCAGGAAAGCAGGGGAUCGCAAGACCUUGCGCUGAUUGAGCGGCCGAUAUCAGAUUAGCUAGUUGGUGAGGUAAAGGCUCACCAAGGCGACGAUCUGUAGCGGGUCUGAGAGGAUGAUCCGCCACACUGGAACUGAGACACGGUCCAGACUCCUACGGGAGGCAGCAGUGGGGAAUUUUGGACAAUGGGCGCAAGCCUGAUCCAGCCAUGCCGCGUGAGUGAAGAAGGCCUUCGGGUUGUAAAGCUCUUUCGGCCGGGAAGAAAUCGCACAGGUUAAUACCCUGUGUGGAUGACGGUACCGGAAUAAGAAGCACCGGCUAACUACGUG
rnacentral:rRNA from 1 species